rnacentral:tRNA from 1 species
GGGCCCGUAGCUCAGCGGAUAGAGCACCAGGCUUCGAACCUGGGAGUCGCACGUUCGAGUCGUGCCGGGCCCG